GUGCUUGCUUCAGCAGCACAUAUACUAAGUUUGGAAUGAUACAAAGAAGAUUAGCACGGCCCCUGCACAAAGAGGACAAGCAAAUUCAUGAAACAUAUAUUGGUAGU